rnacentral:rRNA from 1 species
GCCUGUUAUCUCUAUCAAGAUGAUUCUAAUUCAUCAGAUAUUAUUUAUUCUAGUAUCUGGAGCACGAAAUAGAUAAAGUGGAUCAAAACAAAUGGAACUAUGAUUCAUACUCACUAUUAAGACCUUGCGACCAGACUGAAAAAUUCAAGUAGUUCUUAA